GUUCUACUCCAUUACAGGUUGUUAUCCUCACUGCAAAUUACCACGAACCUGCAUCCCAAUCGACAAAAAUCAGGUGCUUACAAAAGCAGGUUGGUGCUAUAUUCAUGGCUUUGCAUACUCUGGAGAAACUUCAGAUGAGGACGACCCCAAUGACGCCUACUAUUAUGCAGACUCAGAUCGUGAACCAAAAAAAUUGGUAAUCUAAGAUACCAGCCCCUCCAAAAGCACGAUAAGACAUCGAGACCUUCCCAUCUGAAGCAAGUGGAAAAAGCAAAACCAUUUCCAAAAACCCAACUUAUCUCCUAUUUCUAUGUCUCUAAUUAUGUAUGUUUAUAAAACUAUGAGCUUGUAUAUAACUGAAUAUCUACAUCUGAACUCGCGAGCCUAUGAAAAUAUUAUGCAUAUUAUUAAAUUAUACUACC